AGGAAAUUUAUUGAACUCUCUCUAGAUGCCGCAUUGAAGCAGACACCUGAGAAGAAAAAUAUGAUCCCUGAAUUCAAAAGAGUCACAGGCUAUUGGGCAUGACCGGCAAGGGCAGAAUGAUGAAGCAAAGAGAGAAUGGGCUUUCAAGUCAGACAGACCUGGAUGUGAACUAUGGAUCUAAAAAGUUGUAUGACUCCAAGCAAUUUACUUAAGGAAUUCGAAGUUCAAUUGUCUCAUCUGUAAAAACUUCUAGAAUCUGUUUGAAUUAAAUAAGAUAAUCUGUAUGCUCCA